UUUUUUUCACUUUUAUAGAUAUGAAUCAUUUUUUUCUAUUUCUGAAAAUAUUGUAAUCGAUACCAUGCAAAUGAAACGACACAAGGAAUGUUUGUUCUUAAUUUCAAAUAAUUUACAUUGUUCAUACUGUGCAAGAAGCCAAGAACUAUACGAAAUGUAAAGCAAAAACAAAUUCGAUCUACCUUACUAUCAUCUCCUAAACGAAUUUUGGUAUAAACUACACCAAAAAGUAGAAAAAAAUUGGUAAUUUUACAAAAUAGAAAUAAUGUUCUUAGAAGACAAAAGAAUCGUUUUGAAAAACAAGUUAAUUCAUUAAAAAAAGAUUUACUUAACCUUCAAUCUAAGUAUUCUAAUAUUUCUCAAAAAACUAUUGAAGAGAAACUGGUUGAAAUUAACUGUCCUGUAAAUCAAAAAACAAUUGUUCAAGAAAUAUUUGCAGCAGCUAAAUUAACAUGUUAAUUUAAAAUAUCAUCAGAAUAUUAUAAUUUUAUUUUUUUUUUGUUUUUUAAACUAGGUUAAUAACUCUAAAGGUAGACGGUAUUCUGAUGAAUGGUUAAUACUUUGUAUGUUGUUUCAUAUAUGAUCCCCAAGUGGUUACAAUUUUUGCUUGAAGAACAAUAUAAUGCCAUUGCCUAAUGUUAGUACUAUAAGGCGUUAUCUCUCUCUAAUAGAUACAUCUUGUGGAUUUGAUAGACAAUUUGUUGCUUUAUUUAAAAAACACCUAGAAAAAAAAUCCACAAUACAAAAGCAUGGUAUUAUUCUUGUAGAUGAGAUAUAAGUAAGAGAAGCAUUAACUGUAUGCUCCAAAAGUCUUACUUAUAAAGGGCUAGUAGAUUUUGGUGAAGUUUGUAAAGCAAGUGAUAUAAAUGAAAAGGCAACAAGUUGCUUAGUAUUUAUGUUCCAGCCACUUCUUCUCAACCUGUAGCCGUAUUUGCAUCUAGAGGACCUGUAGUCGGCACAGAGUUAGCAAAACUUAUGUUGAAAUGUGUAAUUCUUUUAGAGCAAGCAGGUGCCAUUAUACAUGAAUUUGUCUCUGAUGGAGCUCAGACCAACAGAAAAAUGUGGUCUGAGCUUGGAAUAAGUGGCCAAGUUAAUUCCUUUAAAAAUUGGUUUCAACACCUUCUUCAUGAAAAUCGGAAAAUAUAUGCAUUUUCUGAUACACCUCAUCUAUUUAAGAAUGUGAGAAAUAAAUUAUACAAUGAUAAAAUAUUGAAGGUAAGUUUGUAUUAUCUAAUUACAUACUGAAACUCGUUUUUUGUCUAGUAUUAACAACUAGUCUAACAUUUAUUCAUUUAAAAUAUUAUUUUUGUCGUUCAUACCAGCUGAUGAAAGCCGGUAAAAGAAUUUCUAUGAAAUAAAAAAAAAAAUUAUAAAUCCCAAUAAAUUUUAGUCAAUGUCAAGCACUGUGAAAUUCGUAUUUAUUAUUCUACAUAGAUUUGCAUGUAUUUGUUCAUCGGUGUUAUAUAACUCAAUAAAGAAAAUAGCAAUGUCUAACUUUGUAUGUAAUUAUUUUAAAUAUUUAUUUAAUUAAUUAAUAUUAAUGUGUUCAUUUGUUAAAUUUGCAUGAUCAAUGGGACCUAUAUUUUGUACCAAGGUAUGUAUUUUAGAUAAUAAACAUAAAAAAAUGAAAUUAAUUAUUUCUACUAACCUUUCUUUAUGUAAAUUAAUGGUCAGUAUAUUCGUUGGAAUCACAUUAAUAUUUUAUACGAGCAAGAUAGCAAAUUACCAAGAAUUUUAAGAGUUUGUUCAAAAUUAUCCAGAAACCAUUUACAUCUUAGUUUAUCUGAUAAAAUGAGAGUACGGCUCGCUACUCAAGUACCUUUACAUUUUUUUUUAAAUUCAUCUAUAUAAAAAAUAAUAACUAAUACUUAAUAGGUACUUAAAUAUUUAAUAAAUAUACAAUACUCAUAGAUUUUUGGUUUAUCUUUAUACAUAAUUCAGGUAUUGGGUAAUUCUGUUGCUAAUGGCUUAAUGUUUUAUAAGAAAUAUGAUAUUCCUGGCUUAAAUGAUUGUGAUCCAACAUCUGAAUUUUGUCAGAAGUUGAACGAUUGUUUUGACACACUAAAUAGAAAAUUUGGUGCUGAGGGAUUAAGAGUUAACGGCAAAGAUUAUCAGUUUCUUCAAUCGUUUUUGGUUUGGUUGAACGAAUGGCAAAGAUAAUUGUAUGGCAAAGUAAAAAAAUCAGAAUUUUUAUCUGAUAGCACUGCUUAUGGGUUAAGAAUUACAAUUCAAUCUACUCUUGAUCUUUCUAGUUAUUUAAAAUCAUGCUAGAACUUUAAGUAUCUAUUAACAGGGAAAAUUAAUCAAGACAAACUUGAAAUGUUUUUUGGAACAAUUUGGCAAGCUGUUGGCCAAAAUGAUCAUCCUUCAACUCCUAAUUUUCUUCAAUUGUAUAAACUACUAUCUACUUACAGCAUUUUAAAGCCUCCCAAGAGUGGAAACUGUACUGUACAUGAUGAUUCUCCAUUAAAACCAAUUAUAUCUAUGAAAGAUUUGAAAGAUAUUUAUCAACCUCAAAAAUAUAACUUAGUAGAAAAUUUAAAAAUUAAAUUAAAUGAUAUUAUUGAAGAAAAAGAAUGGGAAUUCAAUGAUGUUGUUGAACAUGAUUAUACUAAACCAGAAAUUAUAGAUUUGUUUAAUUUAUUAUUUAACAGGUUACCUGUCAAAACAACUGUUGAAGUAUAUAAAUGAUUGUACAAUUUGUAAGUCAGCUUUUACCACUCCAGUGGUUUAUUCUCAGCAAUUGUCUGCAACACUGGUUAACAUGAAAACCAAGGGGCGAUUAAUUCAUCCAAACAUAUUUUUUUUCAACUUUAUAUAAAAAAUUGAAAAAAGUUGUAUGAAACAUUGUUCAUCAACUCACGUUUUGGAUCUUAUAAUUGAUGAUAUGAUAAAUGAAAAGCAUAUAACUAAUUUCCCCUGUGUCACUCACGGAGAAAUGCAUAUUUAUGCAUAUUUCAUAUUUUUCUAAAAAAAUUCAUUUUUUUUCUUUCUUAACCUGUAUAUUUCAACGAAUACUGAAUAUAAAACUUCAAAUGACCAACGAAGGUAUAUAUUGUCAUCGCCAUAGUCAAUUUUAUAAAUAUGCUCCGAUGACUUCAACUGAUGUUGAAAGAUCGUUUUCUCGAUAUAAAAAUCUUCUAUCGAAUAAUCGUCGUUCAUUUGAAAUAGAAAAUCUUAAGAAAAUAUUGGUGGUUCAAUGCAAUUCCUUAACAGCUCAAUAAGAUGUCAAAACGCCAACUAGUUAUACUUUUUUUUUAGUUAUAAAUAAUUUUUAUGUAUAUGAUUAAUUUGUAAAUAAUAUC